rnacentral:tRNA from 1 species
UGGCCACGACCCAGCCGGUCGACGGGACCUGCCUGAUAAGCAGGUAUUGCGCGGUUCGACUCCGCGGUGGCGAA